CGCAGUUAAGUUGACUGCUUGGGGAGUCCGGUSGCAAGAUUAAAAYUCAAAGGAAUUGACGGGGGCCCGCACAAGCGGUGGAGCAUGUGGUUUAAUUUGAUGCAACGGGAAGAACCUUCCCUACCCUUGACAUACAGGGAACCUGGCAGAGAGGUUGGGGUUCUUUGGGGAGCAUUAAAACAGUUGGUUCAUGGCCGUCCUCACCUUGUUUCCCGAGAUGUGGGGUUAAGUCCCGUAACGAGCGCAACCCUCAUUCUUAGUUGCCAGAGCGGGAAGGCGGGGAUUCUAAGGAGAUUCCCGGUGACAAACCGGAGGAGGGUGGGGAUGACGUCAAGUCAUCAUUGCCCUUACGGGUAGGGUUACACCCGUGCUCCAAUGUCCGGUACAGAGGGCGGUGAAGCGCCGACGCGGAGCAAAUCCUUUAAAUCUUGUCGUAGCCCGGAUCGGAGUUUUCAACUAGACUCCUUGAAGUCGGAAUCGCUAGUAAUCGCGAAUCAUCAUGUCGCGGUGAAUAUUUCCCGGGCCUUGUACACACCUCCCGUCACCCCAUG
rnacentral:rRNA from 1 species